CGUUCUAUGGCCCAGCUGGUGAAGGCAUCGCCGAUUAGGUUUUACAGGGGAAGAUGCGGGUUCGAGUCCCGCUGGAAGGG
rfam:Operophtera brumata OBRT01_Sc00784, whole genome shotgun sequence.